AGAUGAUAUUCAGUGAUUUUUUAGGAGGUAACAUUCGGAUUAGUAAUUCCGACAGUCUCUUUAAAGCACGGAGCUCAAGCCAGCGUUGUUCCGAGUGAUUCAGUCCAUGAUUUAGCCGGAGGAUCAACGAGUAGUAUAAACACAAAGAUAGAACGAGCUAGGUAGGAAGGAAGUGCGCCGAGCUGUGGAUUGCUCCACAGCGCGAAGGGCAAGCAAUGUUACUCAGAGAGGAAUUUGGCGCGCCCUUCAAUCACUUCAGCAACAUAGUAGGCUAAACAUAUCCGUCCAUACUAGUACCAAUAACAGGGGCAUUCAUCGCCUCAUGUCAUUGAUGCGACCCACUUGGAAGGGGAAAAAAAAGUUAGUGAAAGAGAUGAGCCACUUAUUGCUGCACGCUGCGUAGGGCGUAGACAUAAAAUUGUAGACAUGGCCCUCCAGGGUAACCUGUCUCGCUCCGUACGAGUACCCUUUCAGGCGCUGUGCGCGAAAAAACAUUACUAUAACCCUCCGUUCAUCAUAGGAUAUAAAGAAAAUGCAGGAUAGUAGACAGUCCAUAGAAUACGUAGUCGUUAAAUAACCAGUAUUAGGUGGUGAGGAGGAACUUGAAAUCGAUCGCUCUUGGGAUAGUACUGCUCAUUGCUCCCGCAGUUCAACUGACCCCUCGGGUGACUCAUCUGACCACACUAGUGCAGGUCAGCUGACCUGCCUGUUUGCCAAGAGAAAAAAGACUUUAAAAAGAGUCAGAUGAAAUCCUUACAUAUCUGAACUCUUACACUUCUUUAUCUUAUAUAAAAUAUUAUCAAAAUAAAUGAUGAUAAUCUGGUUAUAGAUCUUGAUAUUUUGAAUCAUUUUAAAUUUAAUUAAGAUAACUUAUAUAAAACUCACAGACAAAAUAUAAAUGAUAUAGUAUAUUAUUAUUAGUUUUUUACUAUUACUUUAUAAGUAACUGACUAGUUAGUAAUUGAUUAUCAAUCAUUAAUUUAUAUCUAGUACUCAAUUAAUUUUAUUACAGUAUAUUAUUAUAAUAGAAGAUCUGAGUAUCUUAUUAUUUAGUUAAACAGAUAGUUAUAUCUAAGCAUC
rnacentral:sRNA from 1 species